UUCUGACUCAGGGAAUGACGAAAGGAAGCCACAAAUACCUUAUGUAAAGGGCUUGCAGCUGUGCCCUGUGAAGGAGCACUCCCUCCAGACUGGGCAUGCGUCCUGGCCUCUGUUUGGAAUGCUCUCUUUCUGCCUCAGUUUCCUUCCUGAUGUAUAUAUAUAGACUCAGCCUCUCUGCCCAAGUCUUCUAUGAUGACAGCUCACUAGGCAGGCAGCGUGGAUCUAUGUUCCAGUCUCCUCUUGCAGAUCAGAUACCACCUCUGAGAUCCUUCUCUGCUCCUCACUGACCAAACUCAAGGAACAGAUCUUCCCUGCCCAGGUCUCCAGGACCCCAACCUACCCACUUCUAGGAGAGAAUUCACACAGGUCUUGAGGAAUAGAGACUACAAACAAAUCAAGUCUUCUGUGGGAAUGCUGGGCCAUGGGCUUUGGAAUCACCACCAGUGAUGGAACCCGAAGUAAGCUACUAAACCUCGACAGGCUCAUUCAUGAAUCACCACCAGUGAUGGAACCCCAGGUGGUCCUGAAAGGAGGAGGUGCUUUGCUUCUCUUUUUCGCAGAUGUCAAUUAUGGAUCAACUUCUGAGUCACAUAGAAGAGCACCAUCAAUUGGCCAUUUCUCACCUGAUCACUGAGGAUAUAAAGUGCUUUUCCAGACUCCAGGACUCGGUUCAUUGCUAGUAUCAGGACGCCUCUCAUGUAUGGGAAGCCAGAAACAUCCCAGGAGCCUCACUGACUGCUUGGGCACAGCCCUCUGAGCAGACCUAUGAAGAAACAGAAGGAUUUGUGCCUUUUAGGUAUCUCUGGUCAAAACAGGUAUUUGAAGUUCUGAUUCUGCUAUUAUCUGGCACCUCCACUUGGCCCAUUGCUGGAAAUAUUAGGACUAGAAAACAUCAAGAUCAGGCACCGAACAGGCAAAUCUCCACUGAGUGGUUCUGAUGUGCAAAUAGCUGAUGAAGACUGGUUAUGGUUAUAAAAUGGAACACAGUUUUCUAAUUACAUAGUGUGUGGGUCUCGUGUGUGUGUGUGUGUGCAUGCAUGUGUGUGCAUGUGUGUGUUCGUGUGUGUGUGUGUGCAUGUAUAUCUAAGGUGCUUCACAUUUAGCUCUCAGCUCUCAGAAUGAGUCCACAUUCUGAGGUAAAUCUAUGGUGUUUGAUACCAACCAAUUUGAGAGAAACAUCUGGUGUCAUUUGCUUUUCUAGAUUCAUUUUUAUAUCUCCAAGACAGAGACACAACAAAGCUUUACUUAGGGCCAACUUAUUCUAAAGUUUUAUUGGUAUCUAGAAGUAGACACCCAUGUCUCUUCCACUUCCUUAUUUGAAUAAAAUUAAGUGGGUCUAGUCCUUACCUUAAUUCUCUCUUAAAAAUGCUCAAGAAAACCAAUUUCAAUAGCUGGGCCUAAAACAAUAUUACAAAACUUGGGUGCUAGGAUUAUAACAAGGAUUUUUCCAACCAGCAAGAAACAAAGCAAGACUUUCAAACAGUUUUAUUAUUUUUUAUCUUUUUAAAAAUUGUAUUGGGGUAAAAUACACGUAGCAUAAAAUUUACCAUCUUAACCAUUUUUAGGCCUACAGUUCAGUGGUACUAAGUACAUUCCUAUUGUUAUACGGCCACUACCACUAUCCAUCUCCAGAAUCUUUUCAUCUUCCCAAACUGAAAUUCUGCCUCCAUUAAACAAUAACUCCCCAGUCCCAUCUUUCCCCAGGCCCUGGAAACCACCAUUCUAUUUUCUGUCUUUAUAAAUUUCACUACUCUAGACAUUUCAUAUAAAGAGAAUCAUAUAAUAUGUGUUCUUUUGUGGCUGGCUUAUUUCGCAGAGCAUAAUGUCUUCAAGCUUCAUCCAUGUUGUAGCAUAUGUCAGAAUUACCUUUGUUUUGAGGGUGAAUAAUAUUUCAUCAUAUGUAGAUGCCACAUAUUGUUUACUCACUCAUCCCUCAAUGGACGCUUGGGUUGCAUCCACGUUUUGGCUACUGUGAAAAAUGCUGCUAUGAAUAUGGGUGUACAAACAUCUCUUUGAGACCCUGCUUUCAACUCUUUUGGGUAUAUACCCAAAAGGUUAAUUGGUGGAUCAUACAGUAUUUCUACCUUUAAUUUUUUGAGGACUCACCAUAGUGUUUUCCAUAGCAGUUACAUCAUUUUACAAUCCUACCAAUAAACGGUACACAAGGGUUCCAAUUUUUUCACAUCCUUGCCAACACUUGUUAUUUUAUGUUUUUAGGCUAGCCAUCCUAAUGGGCAUGAGGCCUUCCAAACAGUUUUAUGAUCGACUAAGUUAACCAAGUAAACCAGAUCAAUGACGGGCCAUAACAUCAAUGACCAAAAGAAAGGGGGAUGGAAGACACUCAGAAAGUUCCACCCCAGCCCUUACAACAUUGUUUGAAUGGAGAGUAGAAGGGGACAAGCUCCCAUUUCACAAGGUAAAGUUUAUAGAUUACCUAGAUGUCUUUCAUUGCCACUUGUUCUAGGUCACACACACAAAACCUAACUCAGCAGUCUCAAGUAUAUCAGGAGGAAAAUGAUGCAAGUCUCAGUGAGAGAGAGAGAAAUAGUGAGAGAAAGAGUGAAAAGGAGGAGGAGGAAAAGGAGAAAAGGAAGGAAGAGAGGGAAUAGGAAAGGAGAGGCAAGGAAAGCUUUCACGUAGCAAAUGAAACAGAAUGAAAAGACAAACUACAGAAUAGGAGAAAAUAUUUGCAAACCAUAUAUCUGAUAAGGGAUUACUGUAAUAUCCAAAGUGUAUAAGGAAUUUCUACAACUGAAUAGCAAAAAAUAAAAUAAAAUAAUAACAAAUAACCCUACUAAAAAUGGGCAAAAGACUUGAAUAGACAUUCUCCAAAGAAGACAUGCAAAUGGUCAACAGUUAUAUAAAAAGAUGCUUGACUGGGCGCAGUGGCUCAUGCCUGUAAUCCCAGC
rnacentral:lncRNA from 1 species